GCAGGCUGCAACUCGCCUGCAUGAAGUCGGAAUUGCUAGUAAUCGCGGAUCAGCAUGCCGCGGUGAAUAACGUUCCCGGGCCCUUGUACACACCGCCCGUCACACCAUGAGAGCCGGUAACACCCGAAGUCAAUAGUCUAACCGCAAGGAGGACAUUGCCGAAGGUGGGAUUGGUAAUUGGGGUGAAGUCGUAACAAGGUAAC
rnacentral:rRNA from 1 species